rnacentral:lncRNA from 1 species
GCAUGGACAGGCGCUUGCACAGGGUGAGGCACUGGGCAGGACCUGGGCUCGAGACCCCAAGAGAGCCGAGCACCAGGGAGCUACUGGGCCCUGUCCUCCGUCUGGACAGCCCAGUUCUCCCCUGAUGCAGGUAGGAUCUGCGAAGCCCGUGCUGUCGGAUGGUAGCGCUUCCUAGCACUAGGUGUGAUAUUUGCCGCCAGCAUCAGCACAAACCAGGCCUCUUGGUAGAAGAAACUGCCCUGGACUUGCUUCAAGAACUUGAGUGAGCAAACACUUCCUGCACUUGUUUGUGCAGCCAACCCCUGCAAGUCCUGGCAGUGUCCUGGGUCCUCACUCCUAUCCCAUUGACCACACAGGUCAUUUGGUAACUCUGAGGGACAGACAGGCUCACCCGUAAAAGGAGAAAACGCAUUUUGCUGAGCUCAGACUGGACUAGAAUUGCUUAUAGAGUAAGAUGGGACUCUAGGCUUCAGCUUUGUUUGCUGCAAGGAUGUUAGGCUUUGGGACAGUGUGCUUUGGUGGUUUUCAGUCAGAAAAAAAAGGAGAAAAAUCCACAGCUCAGCGUUGUCCUCUGCUAUAUGGGGACCGAGGACUACACCAAGAGCCCGCAUGGACUUUCACCAGCGCAGGGCACUAUAAGGAAGAAUGCAUGGCUUCUGAAAUCGUUGCUUCCUGCUUUGAAUCCCGGCUCUGCCAUUAGGCUUAGGCCCUGAAGAUGCCCUGCUGUUGGAAGAAGACACAACAGUCACACGAUCUCAUACUCGGAUUUGAAAAUCCCCUUCCAGGGGACCUAUCCUGCAGGCCCUUGAAUUGACCCCUUAAAGUCUUCGAAGCUUCACACUGACCACCCCUCCUUGGCUGUCUUGUGACCACAACCCCUUGACUCUUCCCAACAACAUUUGCACCGACUUAGUAUUCUGGUGCUUUGGGGAGCAACAUUUAAAAAUAAACCAACUUGGCACACUGUCAAA